UACGUAGGGGGCAAGCGUUGUCCGGAUUUAUUGGGCGUAAAGAGCGUGUAGGCGGCUUUACAGGUCCGUUGUGAAAACUCGAGGCUCAACCUCGAGACGCCGGUGGAAACCGUAAGGCUAGAGUCCGGAAGAGGAGAGUGGAAUUCCUGGUGUAGCGGUGAAAUGCGCAGAUAUCAGGAGGAACACCGGCGGUGUAGACGGCUUUCUGGACCGUAGCUGACGCUGAGACACGAAAGCGUGGGUAGCAAACAGG
rnacentral:rRNA from 1 species